rnacentral:rRNA from 2 species
CGGUGAUAAACCGGAGGAAGGUGGGGAUGACGUCAAGUCAUCAUGGCCCUUACGAGUAGGGCUACACACGUGCUACAAUGGCGUAUACAAAGGGAAGCGACCCCGCGAGGGCAAGCGGAACUCAUAAAGUACGUCGUAGUCCGGAUUGGAGUCUGCAACUCGACUCCAUGAAGUCGGAAUCGCUAGUAAUCGUAGAUCAGAAUGCUACGGUGAAUACGUUCCCGGGCCUUGUACACACCGCCCGUCACACCAUGGGAGUGGGUUGCAAAAGAAGUAGGUAGCUUAACCUCCGGGAGGGCGCUUACCACUUUGUGAUUCAUGACUGGGGUGAAGUCGUAACAAGGUAACCGUAGGGGAACCUGC